GCCUACAGCCAUACCACCCUGAGAACACCCGAUCUUGUCUGAUCUUGGAAGCUAAGCAGGGUCGGGCCCAGUUAGUACUUGGGUGGAAGACUGCCUGGGAAUACUGGGUGUUGUAGGCU
rnacentral:rRNA from 1 species